rnacentral:rRNA from 1 species
UCCGCUAGUAGUGGCGAGCGAACGCGGACCAGGCCAGUGGCUUUUGUGAAUAAAGUGGAACGAGUUGGAAAACUUGACCGAAGUGGGUGAUAGUCCCGUACACGUAGAAUAGCAGAAGUCCUUGAGUAGGGCGGGACACGUGAAAUCCUGUCUGAACAUGGGUCGACCACGAUCCAAGCCUAAGUACUCGUGCAUGACCGAUAGCGAACCAGUACCGUGAGGGAAAGGUGAAAAGCACCCCGACGAGGGGAGUGAAACAGUACCUGAAACCGGAUGCCUACAAACAGUUGGAGCCCAAGAUUUGUUCUGGGUGACAGCGUACCUUUUGUAUAAUGGGUCAGCGACUUAGUGUAUCGAGCAAGCUUAAGCCGGUAGGUGUAGGCGCAGCGAAAGCGAGUCUGAACAGGGCGUUCAGUUCGAUGCAUUAGACCCGAAACCAAGUGAUCUAGCCAUGAGCAGGUUGAAGGUACGGUAACACGUACUGGAGGACCGAACCCAUAUCUGUUGCAAUAGAUCGGGAUGACUUGUGGCUAGGGGUGAAAGGCCAAUCAAACUUGGAGAUAGCUGGUUCUCCGCGAAAUCUAUUUAGGUAGAGCGUCGACCGAAUACCCCCGGGGGUAGAGCACUGGAUGGGCUAUGGGGACUCACCGUCUUACUGAUCCUAACCAAACUCCGAAUACCGGGGAGUACUAGUCGGCAGACACACGGCGGGUGCUAACGUCCGUCGUGGAGAGGGCAACAACCCUGACCACCAUCUAAGGUCCCUAAGUUAUGGCUAAGUGGGAAAGGAUGUGAGGAUCCCAAAACAACCAGGAUGUUGGCUUAGAAGCAGCCAUCAUUUAAAGAAAGCGUAACAGCUCACUGGUCUAAAUAAGGGUCUUUGCGCCGAAAAUGUACCGGGGCUCAAGCCAUACACCGAAGCUGUGGAUGCACGUAUGUGCGUGGUAGCGGAGCGUUCCGUAAGCCUGUGAAGGGACAGUCGUGAGACAUCCUGGAGGUAUCGGAAGUGAGGAAUGCUGACAUGAGUAACGAUAAAGGGAGUGAGAGACUCCCUCGCCGAAAGUCCAAGGGUUCCUGCUUAAAGUUAAUCUGAGCAGGGUUAGCCGGCCCCUAAGGCGAGGCCGAAAGGCGUAGUCGAUGGGAACCACGUUAAUAUUCGUGGGCCUGCAGGUAGUGACGGAUCGCGUGUGUUGUGAGGUCUUAUUGGAUUGAUCUUGCAGCGAAGCGGUUCCAGGAAAUAGCUCCUGCAUAUAGACCGUACCCUAAACCGACACUGGUGGACUGGUAGAGAAUACCAAGGCGCUUGAGAGAACUGCGUUGAAGGAACUCGGCAAAAUGCACGCGUAACUUCGGAAGAAGCGUGACCCUCAUUUGGGCAACCAGAUGGGGGUGGCACAGACCAGGGGGUAGCGACUGUUUACCAAAAACACAGGGCUCUGCGAAGUCGCAAGACGACGUAUAGGGUCUGACGCCUGCCCGGUGCUGGAAGGUUAAGAGGAGAUGUGCAAGCAUUGAAUUGAAGCCCCAGUAAACGGCGGCCGUAACUAUAACGGUCCUAAGGUAGCGAAAUUCCUUGUCGGGUAAGUUCCGACCUGCACGAAUGGCGUAACGACUUCCCCGCUGUCUCCAACGCAGACUCAGUGAAAUUGAAUUCCCCGUGAAGAUGCGGGGUUCCUGCGGUUAGACGGAAAGACCCCGUGCACCUUUACUAUAGCUUUACACUGGCAUUCGUGACGACAUGUGUAGGAUAGGUGGUAGACUUUGAAGCAGGGGCGCCAGCCUUUGUGGAGUCAUCCUUGAAAUACCACCCUUGUUUUUAUGGAUGUCUAACUGCGGCCCGUUAUCCGGGUCCAGGACCGUGUAUGGUGGGUAGUUUGACUGGGGCGGUCGCCUCCUAAAGAGUAACGGAGGCGCGCGAUGGUAGGCUCAGAACGGUCGGAAAUCGUUCGUCGAGUGCAAUGGCAUAAGCCUGCCUGACUGCAAGACUGACAAGUCGAGCAGAGACGAAAGUCGGUCAUAGUGAUCCGGUGGUCCCGCGUGGAAGGGCCAUCGCUCAACGGAUAAAAGGUACGCCGGGGAUAACAGGCUGAUGACCCCCAAGAGUCCAUAUCGACGGGGUUGUUUGGCACCUCGAUGUCGACUCAUCGCAUCCUGGGGCUGGAGCAGGUCCCAAGGGUAUGGCUGUUCGCCAUUUAAAGCGGUACGUGAGUUGGGUUCAGAACGUCGUGAGACAGUUCGGUCCCUAUCUGCCGUGGGUGUAGGAAUAUUGAAAGGAUCUGUCCCUAGUACGAGAGGACCGGGAUGGACGUAUCUCUGGUGGACCUGUUGUCGUGCCAACGGCAUAGCAGGGUAGCUAUAUACGGACUAGAUAACCGCUGAAGGCAUCUAAGCGGGAAACUAACCUUAAAACGAGUAUUCCCUAUCAGAGCCGUGGAAGACCACCACGUUGAUAGGCCGGGUGUGGAAGUGCGGCAACGCAUGCAGCUUACCGGUACUAAUAGCUCGAUCGACUUGAUCACUCCCAUUU